rnacentral:lncRNA from 1 species
GCAGAGCAAACUGGCAGCCUGGCACUCGCGCCUCCUGUCAGCCCAUCCUACCCCUGCACCACUGCAACUGCGCCUGCAAAAAGGGCGACCAGAAAUGCUGUCAGCGGUCCGAAGCAUUUCAGAGAACUGAAUAAGUCGCGAGGGCUUUCAGUAUCUCCGUGAUCUGCAUUGAUUCGUGCUAGAGGCCCUGAUAUUAAACGUCCUUUGAUGAGUCUGAAAAGAAAAACAAGAGAAAAGACAUAUCAGGAGGCAUUAAGGUAAAGACAAAAAUGAGGUUACUGCAAGAAGUAA